rnacentral:rRNA from 1 species
AGCAUGUCUGUUCCGAGUGUUGGUU